rnacentral:lncRNA from 1 species
UUCCCAGGGUUGUAUUCCGAUUGCAAAGACAGAAUGUAACAGUGAAAAUGAAGGUUGGUAAAACUAGCUAACAGGAAACUCUGGCCUAAUUUGUUUUCAUUGUAUAUAUUCUUCAUACAUUCUAAUCCUAAAAGCUUAACUUUUUUUUUUAGUUUUUGUUUCGGUAAAAUUCUUCAGAGGAUCUGAGCUCGGUGUUGAAUGCCUCAGAGCAAUUGAGGACUGGGAUUUGAGCCAUGCUGAGAGUGCUUUUGCCAAAUGUCGACAAAGGGAUUUUGGGAUCUUCCUCCGAAGAUUCUGGUAGCAGCCACUGUUGAAUAUCAGAAAUAACGUGGAGGGCUGCUUUGAAAGAUCCUGCUCAAACUUGUAUGUAUAUGCAUAUAUAUAUGUGUGUGUAUUUACAUAUUCAUAUACACACCCCCACGUACAUGUAGCAUUUUGUUAUGUGCUUGUGUGUUUUCACCUGACAAAGGCAAUAGUUAGAUGA